GCACUGCCGAGGAGUCCCACAAUAGGACGAAACGGCCGUCCAGUGU
rfam:Schistosoma rodhaini strain Burundi genome assembly, scaffold: SROB_scaffold0013766